AUGGUCGCCGGUCAUGACGCGGAACGUGAGCGACUCGCCGGUGAGGUCCUCGGAGGUCUGCCACACCUGGCCCCAGUUGCGCUGCAACAACGUCCACUUGACGCGCUUGUUCCCCUUCACCUUGAGCGCCGCCACGUCCCCCGCUCCGCCCACGUUCGUCACCGCCACCAUGUUGAAGUAUUUGUUCCCCGUGAUCGUGUACCGGAUCCCGCCCAGCUUCGCGCAAGGCACACUGCAUCGGACGGUACGAGAUGGGCACAAUGCCGGCCUUCUCCUCCGCGAUCUGCAGGAAGGCCGGCAUGGUGA
rnacentral:rRNA from 1 species